CCCUUAGAUGUUCUGGGCCGCACACGCGCUACACUGAAGGAGGCAGCGUGUACUCCUGGAUCGAAAGAUUUGGGUAACCCGCGAAUCUCCUUCGUGCUAGGGAUUGAGGUUUGCAAUUAUCCUUCAUGAACGAGGAAUUCCCAGUAAGUGCAAGUCAUAAGCUUGCGCUGACUACGUCCCUGCCCUUUGUACACACCGCCCGUCGCUCCUACCGAUUGGGUGCUCCGGUGAAUUGUUUGGACUGCUGUCAGUCUUUUAGGCUGUUGGCGAGAAGCUCUGUGAACCUUAGCACCUAGAGGAAGGAGAANUCGUAACA
rnacentral:rRNA from 1 species